rnacentral:rRNA from 1 species
UACGUAGGGUCCGAGCGUUGUCCGGAAUUAUUGGGCGUAAAGGGCUCGUAGGCGGUUUGUCGCGUCGGGAGUGAAAACUCAGGGCUCAACCCUGAGCGUGCUUCCGAUACGGGCAGACUAGAGGUAUUCAGGGGAGAACGGAAUUCCUGGUGUAGCGGUGGAAUGCGCAGAUAUCAGGAGGAACACCGGUGGCGAAGGCGGUUCUCUGGGCCUUACCUGACGCUGAGGAGCGAAAGCGUGGGGAGCGAACAGG